rnacentral:lncRNA from 1 species
UUGUAAAUUUCGGUUCGGUUUUACGAUAAAUUUUGGUUUGGUUCGGUAACUUACACCCCUACUUAUACACAUGCAUUGUGUAACAUCUCAUUCUUCGUGACAUGAAAAGAUAACAGAACUUGUUCUUUGUUUGAAGCUACGGCUUUCGCCCAUUCUUUGAGCUUCGCUUUCAUCCACACUGAUGGACACAUUGCACUCAGCUUGAAGUUGCAAUGGAGGAGGAAGAGGAGUGUGUUGUGAGCUAGCUAUGUUGAUCACCCCAUUCCUCUAAAUUGGUGUCACAUCCUUUGUAAUCGACACCUGCCAUAGCAAAAGCUUCU